rnacentral:lncRNA from 1 species
GGGCUGUGCUGUCCUCACUCUUUUGCAGGGUACUGGAGUCAACUUACCAGCUGGAAAUUUCUCACGGGUGGAGAAAUUUCCUACACAGGCUCUUCUGUGUCAGGGGUGAGUAAGUCAGUCUUAAGGGGCAGGAAAAAGCUAUAGUUCAUACGGAAUUAUUAAAGCAGGACACAGUGAGUUUCUGCCCUCUACAACCUUUCUUCCUAGAGCUUAGUGUGCACAGAUGCUGAGAUUCUCCUCCCAGACCCAGCUGCUGAGCUGAAUGCCACUAAGAAUAAUUACCAAAGAACUGCUGAAGAGGUUGCACAGAGUCUGGGGUGAAGCAGAUGGAAUCCAAAAGGCUCCAAGGACAAAAAUUAUGGGGAAAGAGAUCAAGGGAGCCACGAUGGACCCUAGCCUUCUGUUUGUCGUCAGGUCUUCUUCAUCUGUCCUUAAUUCCAAGACCACAAAUGGAGGAAAGCUUCCUCCUAACAGUUCUGAUUUCAAAAGGAAGUCAAAGAACUGCUACAAACUGUUAAAACCUCUGACUAGAACUGGCAAAAGCCACAUUCAGCUACACGCCACUGAAGAGAACUAGUCUUAUUUUUUUUUAUUUGGUUCCUUUUUUGAACUUUUUAUUGAUUCUUUUUAAUUUCAUAUUAUGCAUCUAAAUCCCAGUCACCUGCCCAUCCCUUCCACUCUUUGCCAUGUAAUAACCCACCAAAACAAAAUUAAAUAAAAU